ensembl:antisense Zfhx2os zinc finger homeobox 2, opposite strand
AGAAAUGAGCGGGGCACUUAGUUAGGAUAAGCUGUGUUUACCUAAGUGGGGAGAUGACCUUUGGGAGAAGGCAGGGAAUACAGUUGGACUUGGGUAGGGAGUGGCAGGAGCAGAAAGGGGACUUACCAGCUGUGGGGAACUUGCGGGCAGGCGCUCCAAGGUGGUGGAAACCAUUAAGGAGUAGCUGGGCUUCAAGGGGCUUGUCUGGCCUCAGCCCGGGCCCAGGCAUGGGUGUCUGAGGCUGUCCUAGGGCCUGGGGCCCAAAGUACUGGAAGAGUUCAGGAGGGUUGGUGGGGGCAGCCCCUGGUGGGGGAGGAGGUCCUGGCCCCACCAGCCCUGGUGGCAGGCCAAGUGGCAGCCCCUGGUGCAACAUCAGGACGUUCUGCAUGUGUUUCUCAGAAGUCAUGUGGAUGCGCAGGUUUCGGGAGAUGUUGGUUUCGUAGCUGCACACUUUGCACUGCCAGGAUGACUUGGUCUUGGGCUCUUUAUCCCCGACAGAGGUGGGUGGGAGGGAUGCCUCUGGGGGACUCGCCUGCCCGCCAGGCCCUGCCUGGAAGCCCUGCAGGUUGGCCAGGUGCUUGUCGGACUGCAUGUGGAUGCUGAGGUUGCCUUUGGUGGUGGUGGAGUAGUUGCAGACAUCGCAGCGGUAGGGCUUGUAGCCGCAGUUGUAGCUCUCUCCGCGGGCCAGGCGGGGGUGGGCGCCCCCGGCGCUACAGUAGCUGCAGUGGCUGUUGCUCUCGGGGUGCUUCUCCCGCAUGUGCACGUCCAGGGUCUGCUGGUACUUGUAGUGCCAGUUGCACUUGGGACACUUGAGAGUCUUGCAGGAAUUGCGUGAGUGUAGCAGGGACAUGUGACUGGACAGGCUGAGGCCCUGGAAGGCGGCAGGGGCUGGAGUGUAGUCAUCGGCCAGGCGACAGGACGGAGGUGGGUCACUGGUGUCUUCGGGAGAGCCUGCUGGAGCUGGGAGCACGGCCACCUCCUUAGAGGUGGGUGAGCUUUGGUUGAGCGGGAGGCAGAGCCCUCCAUCCUCUUCCUGCCCCUCAGGGAACCAGUCUGGCCCCGCCUCGCCUCUUGGUACUGGCGAAUCUUUGGCUUGGGUUGGGCUGGGGUCCCAGGUGGCUAGGGCUGUGGGUGGGGAUGGUGGGCUGAGGGCUAUAACCUCUUCAGCGGGGAGAACAAGGGCUUGACCAUCUGCCUCUGGGGGGCCGUCCUCAGCCUGGGCUCCAUUUGUCUUCACAGUCACUGUGCUGGUGUCCAGUACUUCGGGAGAAGGACGGGCAGCCAGAGACGGCGCUGAGGUAUCGUGGGACAACAUUUGGUCAGAAGAGCUAAAGCCUUGGAUUGGGUCGAAGCCAUGUUGGAUGUGAAGGGUGGUAAGGUGUGAGGAGGGGAAGUGGGUGAGGAGGGGCAGGCUGGGCUCUUCCUUGGCGCUUGCCUCAUCCCAGGGGAAGCCCUUUGGUAACGAGAGUUCACUGCCCCUAGGCAGGGGCAGGUUGGCCAGUAGGUAGGCCUGGCCUCCAGCUGCGAAGAAUAAGUGGCUGCUGAGGUCCAAAGGAAGGAUCUCUUCCUCCUCCUUUGCCACCCCAAGGUCCUUUGGUGGGAUGUGGCCACAGCCAGGCUCUUCUUGGGGCUCUCCAAUCUCCUUUGGUGGGUCAAGGUCACUGCCUGACUCCAGACGCUCUCCCCCCGGCUCUGAGGACCUUAUGCUCUCAGAGGUGGAGGGGGCAUCAGGAGGAUCUUUGGUGACAGGAUCAGAGGUGCUGGAGGAGGAGGUCUCUGGAGGUGGUGACCGAACAUUGUGCCCAGGGGAAGGAAUGGUUCCGGAGGGAGAGGCUGAGUUAAGGGUAGCCAUGGUAGACGGAGGACUGCUGAGGGUUCAUUUCAGCGUGACAGCCAGUACCCUGCAGGGAGGCAUGGGGAGAGCAGUGCCGUAAGAUCUCGGGGUCCCCAGCAAGGCUGAAUGUCUGGACUCUUUAGCCCUACUAUGCUCAGACUCAGGUGCCCCCAUGCCAACUUGAAGCUCUACUUAGUGUGUCUAAAACCAGAGUUCACGAUCGCUUUCCAAACCAGCUCUUCUCCAUCUUGCAAUCUCAAAUUUGGUACCACUCAACCCUCGGCUUAUAUGUCUAUGCUAUGCCCUGUAGCUUCCGUUCCAUAACCAGUUCCAGGAUGCAUCAGACCCUACACUCACAUCUUCCUCACCAGCAGCACCCUGGUCGGACCCACUGGUAUCUUUUUGAGCUGAUGCACCAGAUGGGAUACUCUUUUCCUUCCCACCUCUGCCCUCUCCAAGCUGACAGCCAAAACGACCCCUUCAUGUUCAACUACAGAAAAUGCCCAACAUGUGUAGGGAGAACCUCUGUCUGCUGCCCGCUGUCAGUGGCAAUCAGCGCAUGGGCGGUCUCGUCUUCGUUUGUGACCUCAUCGAAACUGCUUUACUCUCCGCGGUGUUUUAAUUUUAGGUUAGAAUUAAAUAUAAAUUUUAGGUUAC